UUUGGCAUCAGGCACUCCAUUGCUCUCAGAAUUGUUAAGUCCACUCAACCUCCCAGAACUCCCACCGGGAAGAGAAGAUGCGCAACCCAUGAAUUUCUGAAUAUAUAGUGAAACUCAAUACAGUAUGUAUGUAUAUUAAUAUUGUUGUGGAAUUAGGGUUUAACGUGGAUAGCUACAGAAAGUCGUGCGUUCAAAGAGCUUUC
rnacentral:misc_RNA from 1 species